rnacentral:rRNA from 1 species
AGUGAACGCUGGCGGUAGGCCUAACACAUGCAAGUCUAACGGCAGCACAGUAAGAGCUUGCUCUUACGGGUGGCGAGUGGCGGACGGGUGAGGAAUACAUCGGAAUCUACUUUUUCGUGGGGGAUAACGUAGGGAAACUUACGCUAAUACCGCAUACGACCUACGGGUGAAAGCAGGGGAUCUUCGGACCUUGCGCGAUUGAAUGAGCCGAUGUCGGAUUAGCUAGUUGGCGGGGUAAAGGCCCACCAAGGCGACGAUCCGUAGCUGGUCUGAGAGGAUGGUCAGCCACACUGGAACUGAGACACGGUCCAGACUCCUACGGGAGGCAGCAGUGGGGAAUAUUGGACAAUGGGCGCAAGCCUGAUCCAGCCAUACCGCGUGGGUGAAGAAGGCCUUCGGGUUGUAAAGCCCUUUUGUUGGGAAAGAAAAGCAGCAGGUUAAUACCCCGCUGUUCUGACGGUACCCAAAGAAUAAGCACCGGCUAACUUCGUG